AUAAAAUAAAUGGAGUUCUCAAUUUCAAAGUGAACUACCGCUGUGCCGCACACCCAUAUUCUAGAAUCUGAACUUUCAAAGUGAAACCCUAGAGAACUACUCCUUCUCCGCUCCGGCCUCCCCUCCGUCGCCACGCCAGAAGACCGGCGCCAUUUCGCCAGGUCCACGCAACAGCAAUAGCCCAGCCCACGACCUGCGUCCUCCCGUCAUUUGCCAGCAGACCGCCGUCUUACAGCAGCAGCAAGCAGCACCCUAUCGGCGAGUCGGCGACGAUGACUGCUCCCCGGCCUCUCCUCCGCAACA
rnacentral:lncRNA from 1 species